CCCUUGGUAGUUGAUAAGGUUAAACACUCAGCUACUAACCGAAAGGUUGGUGGUUUGACUCUACCCAGAGGUA
rnacentral:tRNA from 1 species